UACGUAGGGGUGCAAGCGUUGUCCGGAAUUAUUGGGCGUAAAGAGCUCGUAGGCGGUCCGUCGCGUCGAAUGUGAAAACCCGGGGCUCAACCCCGGGCUUGCAUUCGAUACGGGCGGACUAGAGUUCGGUAGGGGAGACUGGAAUUCCUGGUGUAGCGGUGAAAUGCGCAGAUAUCAGGAGGAACACCGGUGGCGAAGGCGGGGUCUCUGGGCCGAUACUGACGCUGAGGAGCGAAAAGCGUGGGGAGCGAACAGG
rnacentral:rRNA from 1 species